UUUUUACCAAACAGGAGGACUGGACAUAUCUCUGCCCUCUGCUUGUGCAGUCAAACGGAGACGGCUGGACCACAGGCAAGCUAACGUCAGCGGACCGAGCUAGCUAGCAUGGAGGAAUUAGAUGAUGUGGCAGUGUCGAUUUUGAAGGCUGCAAACAUCAGUGAGGAAAUGAUGGGCACCUUGUCCCGUGAAGACUUGCGGGAUCUUUUCCCAGGGCCCGAGAAUUUCUUUAGGAGAAAAGCUGUGUGGCGUGUCUGCCAUGUU